rnacentral:rRNA from 1 species
UCUGAUGCAGCACGCCGCGUGGAGGAUGACACAUUUCGGUGUGUAAACUCCUUUUAUAAGGGAAGAUAAUGACGGUACCUUAUGAAUAAGCACCGGCUAACUCCGUGCCAGCAGCCGCGGUAAUACGGAGGGUGCAAGCGUUACUCGGAAUCACUGGGCGUAAAGGAUGCGUAGGCUGGAAAUCAAGUCGAGAGUGAAAUCCAACGGCUCAAACGUUGAACUGCUCUCGAAACUGGUUACCUAGAAUAUGGGAGAGGUAGAUGGAAUUGGUGGUGUAGGGGUAAAAUCCGUAGAUAUCACCAGGAAUACCGAUUGCGAAGGCGAUCUACUGGAACAUUAUUGACGCUGAGGCAUGAAAGCGUGGGGAGCAAACAGGAUUAGAUACCCUGGUAGUCCACGCCCUAAACGAUGCACACUAGUUGUUGCGAUGCUAGUCAUUGCAGUAAUGCACUUAACAGAUUAAGUGUGCCGCCUGGGGAGUACGGUCGCAAGAUUAAAACUCAAAGGAAUAGACGGGGACCCGCACAAGCGGUGGAGCAUGUGGUUUAAUUCGAAGAUACACGAAGAACCUUACCUGGCCUUGAUAUCCUAAGAAUCCUUUAGAGAUAAGGGAGUGCUAGUUUACUAGAACUUAGAGACAGGUGCUGCACGGCUGUCGUCAGCUCGUGUCGUGAGAUGUUGGGUUAAGUCCCGCAACGAGCGCAACCCUCGUGAUUAGUUGCUAACAGUUCGGCUGAGCACUCUAAUCAGACUGCCUUCGCAAGGAGGAGGAAGGUGAGGACGACGUCAAGUCAUCAUGGCCCUUAUGGCCAGGGCUACACACGUGCUACAAUGGCUAGGACAAAGAGACGCGAUACUGCGAAGUGGAGCAAUCUUAAAACCUAGUCUCAGUUCGGAUUGGAGUCUGCAACUCGACUCCAUGAAGCUGGAAUCGCUAGUAAUCGUAGAUCAGAUAUGCUACGGUGAUACGU